rnacentral:rRNA from 1 species
CCCAGACUCCUACGGGAGGCAGCAGUGGGGAAUAUUGCACAAUGGGGGAAACCCUGAUGCAGCGACGCCGCGUGAGCGAAGAAGUAUUUCGGUAUGUAAAGCUCUAUCAGCAGGGAAGAAAAAAAUGACGGUACCUGAGUAAGAAGCACCGGCUAAAUACGUGCCAGCAGCCGCGGUAAUACGUAGGGAGCGAGCGUUGUCCGGAAUUACUGGGUGUAAAGGGAGCGUAGGCGGGAUUGCAAGUUGGAUGUGAAAACGGCGGGCUCAACCCGGAGCGUGCAUUCAAAACUGCGAUUCUUGAGUGAAGUAGAGGCAAGCGGAAUUCCUAGUGUAGCGGUGAAAUGCGUAGAUAUUAGGAGGAACACCAGUGGCGAAGGCGGCUUGCUGGGCUUUUACUGACGCUGAGGCUCGAAAGUGUGGGGAGCAAACAGGAUUAGAUACCCGCGUA